CUUCCCCAUCUGACUAAGAAGGCAACAGCUGAGCAACGUGAGAUCAAGAGCCAUAUUAAUUUAAACAGGGGCUGAAAGUGGCAUUUGAGAGAGAAGAUACUUCCUCUCGUAGUGGACACUUGUCUUUUCAGAAGAUUUAUACGACUGAGAGUCAAAACUUUUACCAGAGACUUUCAUAGUCAGUUUGAAUUCUGCAAAAUUUCUCUUUAUCUUCUGGAAUGUAUGCUCUAGACUUGGAGUGGCUCAAGCUCUUCGAUGUGAUCCUAUCAAUGUCAAGAGAAAGAAGCACUGAAGAGUCAUAAUUGUGUCCUGAUUUAUAAAUCGGAGACAGAGGGAGACGAAAACCACACUCCAGAAAGUAGCUUAAUCGGACUCACUACUAAGAUGUUAAAAGUGAAGAGGCUGGAAGAAUUCAACACGUGUUAUAACAGCAACCAGCUGGAGAAAAUGGCCUUUUUUCAGUGCAGGGAAGAGGUGGAGAAAGUGAAGUGUUUUCUGGAAAAAAAUUCUGGGGACCAGGAUUCAAGAUCUGGACAUAAUGAGCCAGAGAUGACUGGAGGCAGAGCUACCCACAGCCCGACCACUUCUACCUGAGCUCUUAUUGAGGAUGCAAAAAGCCAAAACCCUUUCAUGCAGCUGUUGAGAAGUCCAAACAAGUUCAGAAUCCUGAUCUUUUGUGUGUGGCCUAUAUUUUCUCUCUCUAGCAACUUGGGAAACCUUCUAUUUGUCCUUGUAUUGGGAAAAGUUUCUGCCAGAACCAAGAACCACUGUCCGUAAGUGGAGGGAAGUUCAGACUGAAGAAAGAGGCAAAACCACUUUAGAGUCUUGCUCUGUCACCCAGGCUGGAGUGCGGUGGUGUGAUCUUGGCUCACUGCAACCUCUGCCCCCCAAGUUCAAGCGAUUCUCCUGCCUUGGCCUCCCGAGUAGCUGGGACUACAGAUGGAAUCUUGCUGUGUCUCCAGGCUGGAGUGUAGUGGCGCGAUCUCGGCUCACUGCAACCUCUGCCUCCCGGGUUCAAGCAAUUCUCCUGCCUCAGCCUCCCGAGUAGCUGGGACUACAGGUGCCAGCCAUCACGCCCGGCUAAUUUUUUGUAUUUUUAGUAGAGAUGGGGUUUCACCAUGUUGGCCAGGAUGGUCUCGAUCUCCUGACCUCGUGAUCUACCCGCCUCAGCCUCCCAAAGUGCUGGGAUUAUAGGCGUGAGCCACCGCGCCCAGCCUAGUCUCUGCUUUUUUAAAAAAAAUGUUAGGACAGUGGUCCCUAAACUUGUCUGUGUAUUAGAAUCACCUGGGAAAUCUUUAAAAAUUCUAAGGACCAGGUAAAUUAAAUUAUAAUCUCUGGGAAUAGGACUGAUUUUUGUAUUUUUAGUAGAGACGGGGUUUUGCCAUGUUCACCAGGCUGGUCUCGAACUCCUGACCUCAGGUGAUCCACCCGCCUCAGCCUCCCAAAGUGUUGGGAUUACAGGUGUGAGCCACCACAUCCAGCCCAGACUAAUUUUUCUGAUGACAAAUGCUGCUUGUUGAUGUGAAUUCUGAUAUGGCACACACUUGAGCCUCACUUUGUUAGCUAUUAAUUUGUGUUACUGAAUUUACAGGCCUGGAAUACAAUUUGUGCUUCUUUUUAAAUAAAUUUCAUACUUUUUUUUUAAUGGACUUG
rnacentral:lncRNA from 1 species